AACAGUUUGGUAUAUAACGAAAUUUGCUUUUUUCGGCUUGUGUUUACGUUUGCGUCUGUGUUGGUUGGUUGAAAUUUUCACUUUCGUACAGAAAAUUUCGGAAAAAUUGUGAAAUCUUGUGCAACAUUUAAAUUUAGCAGAUUAAAUCUUUAGCGGAUCAAUGCAACAAACUGAUGAACAAAUGCAAGCAUAAAUGCUAUAAAAAACUCAAGAAGGAAAUACAAUAAAAUAGAAUGAACUUUGUGACUACCGAUUUCUUCAGCAAAACACGAAACAGUAAUGACCACUUUUAAAGAGUAGGCAGGAUUUAAUACAAAGAGCCAACAAUAACAAAGAGAAACGUUUUGUACUCUUUAUAUGUCUGCUCUGAUUGCGUACUUGUGAACAUUACGAUGGAGUAUGCUAUUACAAUACCAAUAGCGAGCAUAAUGCAUAACACACCCAUUGAAAUUGUACAAUUAAAUUACAUGCUGUAGUUUUGAAGUAGAAAUAAUAUAAUUAUUAUAAAAUUGUAGUAAUAAACAAUAAAAAAUAUAAUAUUAUAUUAAGGAAUUUACUUAUGGCAAUAACACACAUGUUUGUCAGCAUAAGCAUACGUUUUGAGAUAAACGUUUUGGAUUGAAUAGAUGUUUUGAAUGGUUUUGAAAGUAAAAAAUACAAAUGGAAAAAAUAUGUUUUUAAACUUGGCAUGCCGCAAUAAAAGCUGCUCUAUUUAUUGUCCACAUUUUUUAAAUACUAAAAACUAAAUACACAUAUUUUGUGUUGGCUUCAAAGAGCAAAAGCUGUGUAUAAGAAAAAAACGUGAGAGAAACAUUCAUUGGAUUCUUUGGAACGUCACGACGUGCUACGAAACGAAGCGGAAAGUUUUAUAAACGCGGUGUCAAUACUCAUAUCUAAUAAUUACAAAUAUUAAGUGUAUAAAAAAGUAAAUUCGUGUUGAAAAAACAGUAUUUGCUGGAAAAAAAAUUAAAAGACUACUGCAGUGUUUUUUGUAAUAGCGGCUAUUACUCAUUAUUGAUUUUCAGCUACACACAUUGCAGUGUUUGUUAAAAUACGAAAAACUAACGAAAAAAUUUAAUAGAUAAAAAGUUUUUUUUUGUUUUGCACUAAACGACCUUACUCACUCUCCAUUUAAAGAAAUUUUUGGAGAGUUGAGUGACAUACGAGUAAAAUAAUUACGAAAAUACAUUAAAUAUUAAAGUAUUUAAGCAAUUAACAAAACACAAUAAAUCAAAACAAAAAUAAAAAUUAAAA